ACCUGAGCUCAAUUUCAACUCUCAUAGCAAAGGGUCUGAAUACUUAUAUAAAUAAGGUACUUCUGUUUUUUUGCAAAUUUGCAAAACAUUCAAAAAACCUGUAUUCACUUUGUCAUUAUAGGGUAUUGUGUAUUGAUUGAUGAGGGGGAAAAAUAUUGAAUACAUUUUAAAAUACGACUGUAACGUAACAAAAUCGGGGACUGAAUACUUUCCAAAUGCACUGUGUACUUGUGUGUGAUUACCAAUGAUUCUGUGUGGACUGUGGACUGUGGAGCCUGACAUGAAAACCCUCUCUUUUUUUCUCUGUUAAACACACCUUCUUAAUUUCCUGAAAAAGCUAUGAUGAGUGAAUAAAAUGUUUAGUUGAAAGCCCUGCAAAUGGAAGAACAUAUUGACAAACAUUUCAUUAUCCUGGCUCUGAAGAAAUGAUCAGAUCAAUUCAAACCCGGGAUUGAAAUGAAGGCUAGGCUGACACAGUGACAAUUUCUAUUAGUGGGCAGGAGAAUGAAAGACAUAUACUCAAAUCCCAGGAUGAUGACGCUAUGUCUUUCACCUCUGGUACUACAAUGUCUUCUUAUGCAUGAAUUAGUACUUUUCUUUUGUUUUUCCAACAGAAUAUGCCCACUAAGAUGUGUGUUUCACACCUGCACUGUACUGUAUUUGAGUCUUGCUCUGGGAUUCUGGUUGACUGGCCUGCUCUGGUCAGGAUACCAUGGACCACAAUCCUACAGUGAGAUAUCUCACACCCACCAGAGGGGAAGAGAUCUAGAGGUAUGGAGAUGGGGGGUUUAUGACACCUCACUCCCAUUGUAAAUCUUAAGGCAGCAGACAAAAUUCCUUUGUCCUCUCACUAUGGAGAACCGGCCUCAAAACAUUAACAUGCAAUAAAUGGAUAACAUGCAAUAAAUAGGUUUUGUCAGCCACAAUGGUGGUAAUGACUAUAGAUGGAAUAUGAAAAAUUCAUGUAGUUUUUGUUAUGUUAUUAAAGGUUAAAGGAUGACAUUAUAACGAAACCAACUUUAAGAAUUAUGUGCCUACUGUUUGCAUAUUGUAUGUUGUGUAGAAAAUAUCCAGAUCAAAGAGAAUGUUUUUGUAAAGAUGAAAUGUGAAGUUAGUUGUCUAAGUUGGAUCUGAAUAAAAUCCAGACCUUGCCUCAUAACUUGGUACGCCCAGAGAAUUGCCCUAAAGGCGGAAACGCCCAUUUCUGACCCGAGGGUAUAAAACAUGUGAGUUAAGAAUUAACAUAUUAGACUAAGGGACACUGAGCUGCAGCGGUCUGAGUGGUCAGAAAAAGCAACACAAGGUUGAAGAAGACAAAGGAACCUUUUAACAACCUAUGCUAUGGAUGAGUAGCUGUAUCUAAAGGGGAUGAAUUCAAGCAGGACCACCCGGUCACCACUCUCCAAGGAAACGUGUGUCUACACUGUUUUGCUUCCCAUGGUGGAACCAUCCACACGGCUGAUUAGCUCUCCUCCGAAAACCCCUUUUCAGAGCAAGGGCGAGGAACCAGACCACUAAGAGAAAGGACACUGGCGUUGUGAGGAGAAACAAAGAGUUACACAGUAACCGAAGACGGACCUUCAUCAGAGAAGUCGGAAUCCGGUCUACGCAGACACACACAUUGGAGACCUUCAACAUGUAACAUUAAAAACUUUGAAGCCUUCAGCACCAUGGACAAGGCCUCCUCCACCAGCCUGUGCAGUGCCACAGACAGAGCAGGUCAAUGCCACAGGCAAGUUGAUAUGGUAACUUUAGGUAUUAUUACCAGUAAAAAAAUAAAAAACUCUGAAACGAUUUACUGCGGCAUACUGUAAAUUAUGGUGCAUAGUGGGAAAAUUGCUGUAUUUUGAAUGGUACUGUAAUUUCACCCCUCAAAAUACAGUACCUUACAGUACCAUUAGAGCGCCCAAAAACUUUUAACCACAAUUGGAUGCAUGGUAAGAUUGUUUCUGAGCAUUAACAUAUUUUGAGGCGUGCCUUGUAAGAGGCUAUAUUUGUUACUCCUGUGAGUGAGAAUGCUGUAUCAAAUUAACUCCUAUGUGGUUAUAGUGCCCCAUCCAUUUAAAAUGUAUAGAGGACAUAUUUAAGUGUCAGAAAGUCAUUAAAUGGUUGAGCAUUUUGCCAUGUCAUUUUCAUCUGUUUUGCCCUGUAGUCGCUGCCAGUUUGAAUGUCUUUGUUGAGUGCAAAUGAUAUUAAACACCAAUUAUUUAUUAAUAUGGUGUAACGUGUAAACACUUUACCUAGCAGCCAACCUGCUUGCACCAAUCCCUUGUAAUUACAGAAAAACACUCUAAAAUCUCCUAAAGAGCUAAACAUUGUUGGAAUGUUCUGCUGAUCCAUGUGAGAGAAGCAGACUCGAUCUCAAGCUAUAAGUCUUUACUGAAGACUCAUCUCUUCAGUAGGGCCUAUGAUUGAGUGUAGUCUGGCUCAGGGGUGUGAAGACGAACGGCAAGGUACUGGAGUGACGAACCACCCUGCUGUCUCUACCUGACCGGCUCCCCUAUCUCCAUUGGGAUUCUCUGCACAUUACGGGGGCUGAGUCACUGGCUUGCUUGCGCUCUUCCGUCCUUCCUGUUCUCGGGCUCAUACGGUGGGGAGAUUUUUGUGAGCUAUACUCUGCCUUGUCUCAGGGUAGUAUGUUAGUGGCCUGUUGAUAUCCCUUUAGUGUUGUGGGGUUGUGCUUUGCCAAUGUGGCUGGGGUUAUAUCCUACCUGAUUGUCCCUGUUCAGGGGUUAACUUUGGAUGGGGCUUCAGUGUAGCCGACCCCCCCCCCCCUCAGUCUCCUGUGUCUAUGCAGCAAUAGUAUAUGUUCCUAGAGUCAGUCUGUUGUAUAUGGUGUAAUUAUCCUGUCUAAUCUGAUGUCCUGUGUGAUCUUAGAUAUGCUCCCUCUAAUUCUCCCAUAUCUCUCUCUCCAUCCCCUCCCAGAGGACCUGAGCCCUAGGACAAUGCCUCAGGAAUACCUGGCCUGAUGACUCCUGGCUGUCCCAGUCCCUGGUCCACUUGGUCGUGCCUUUGACCCAGCUUCUGCUGUUCUGCCUGCGGCCAUAGAACCCUGAGCUGUUCACCCUCAACACCCCACACAUGCUGUCACAUAACUGACAUUAACUCCCAUGGUGCUGACCUCUUGCACCCUCCACAACCACUAUGAUUAUUAUUUGACCCAGUGGUCUUCUAUGAACAUUUGAACAUCUUGAAGAAUGAUCUAGCCUUAAUGACCAAGUACUCUCAUAAUCUCAACAGGCUGGCCACCCCUCAGAGCCUGGUUACUCUAUGUCUCCUCCUAGGUUCCUGCCUUUCAAAGGAGUUUUUCCACGCCAUGGUGCCUCUACAUCUGCAUUGCUUGCUCUCUGGGGUUUAAGGCUUGGUUUCUGUAUAAGCACUUUGUGCCAAUUCCUGUAAAAAUGGUUCUAUAAAUACAUUUGAUUGAUUAAAAUACAAAGCCCUCACCUCAAUGAAUUUAAUUCAUGAAUUAUUCCCGAUUACAGUAGCAUUUCAUUUCUUACCAUAUUUAUAUUACAGCAGGUGUACUGUAAUAUGAAAUAAAGAAUUUUACUUGCCA